rnacentral:lncRNA from 1 species
UCGUUCUCAUUAUCUCUGUAACUCAGCUUUCUUUAUAGCUUUAUCUGUUUCUUCCGCUGUAUCUUUCUUCAUCACUGAACAUCUAGACCUGGAUAAAUAAUAUGGUGUCAUGUCUUUAUGUGAUUUUUACCGCUGGUUUGAAGAUGUUUUGAGAUGCGGAACUAAAGAAAUCAAAGAUCAAUCUUGGACUAGACUAAUGGAACCCCAUUAAUCAAAACAUUGGUGGGAUCUUUUUUUGGCCAUGAGAAAUUAAGAUUGUUCGGUUCUGCAACUUUUUUGAUGAACACACACACGCUAAGGUUUGUUAACAUAUUCUAAAACUCCUCGUAUUCAAGAUUGUAUUCUGUGAUACUCUAAUGAGCGUAUGUACGCAAAGCUCUUUAUCGAUCCACGAGCAAAGGAGAUUACGUUUGAGAUAUCUCUUAAUUUUGCAUAAGCGCAGAAAUGCACCAUAAUUUAUGUGUGUACUCAAUUUACGGAUAAGGAUAUGUCAACUAGGACAAAAUGAAUAAAAACCGAAUAAUUGACUUUCGUGGACUGAUCCAUAGUUCCCGACAAGAUUUUGGAGUUUCUAGAGUUGUUGAUCCGGUCUUGGACAAAAUUCGACCCAAACUAUUGACCAUUGUUUUUUCUUACAUAGUUUGGGUAACCAUUUGCAUUCCAUAUCAUUUGUUGUCGAAGAAGCGAAUGUUUCCAUAUAAUCAAUUAAAAUGUGUGUGCUUACAAAUAAAAAUAAAUAAAAACUCAAAAACCAUACCGUAGCAAACUUGUAUAAGGGUAGAAUCACUUUCAUUUUGAACCGUGUGGAGGAAGAGAUAAAAAGCCAGAAACAGAACCGGCGUGAACAUGAGGUAGAUAUAGCUCUUUGGCGUGGGAAAAACAACUGUUAUCGAAAGAGAUUCACAACAAAGGAAACAUGGGUCCAAAUUCGUACUGCUAAGCCGACAAUGGAGGGGUAUAAGGAGAUCUGGUUUUUCCACGCAACUCCAAAAUAUGCUUUCAUCACUUGGCUGCUUAUCAAGAACAGACUCACAACAGGGGAAAGAAUGUUAAACUGGAAUCAAAAUGCGAACUCAGUCUGUGUUUUCUGUGACGAACCCAUAGAAACAAGAGACCAUUUGUUUUUCUUAUGCCCGUACUCCUACAAGGUUUGCAAAGAUCUAGUCUUGGGACUUCUUUCGGAAAAAUUUAAAGAGAAUUGGCGUGAGAUAAUGAGGUUCAUGUAGGAAAUGAUUGGGACAAGAUAAAAAGCUAUUUGUUGAGGUAUACAUUCCAGAACUCUAUACACUUAAUCUGGAGCGAACGGAACAGGAGAAGACAUGGGGAACAACCCACCCCGACGAAAAUGCUGGUCAAGACGAUAGACAAAAAUGUGCCCAACCGGUUGAACACGAUUAAAGGUGGGGGAGCUCUGAAGUACGAGGGCGGUUUACAAGCCUGGUUUGCAUCAAGACUAUAAAGAGGAUAUUUUGGCUAUCUAAAAUGUUUCUUAAGAAAAGUUUGCAUUGAUUAUAGAAACGUUUAUUUUUCU